rnacentral:rRNA from 1 species
ACAUACGACCAUAGACUCAAGAGAAUUGGGCAUCCCGUCCGCUCUGCCAUACACAAGCUUGAGAUCGGUGGAUUAGUAGUUGGGUGGGUGACCACCGGCGAAUACCCACUGUUGUAUGUU